CUGUCACGGCCUUCAGACUUUCAUCUAAGAAGCUGGCUUGCAAAAGCUCAAUAAUGUCAGUAAGAAGGUGCGCCCGAGCCAUUAUCUUAAACCUCUCGAAACCUACAGAGAAUGUUAUCUUGCAGGCCUGAUUUAUAAUCUUGGCCCCUCUUCUCGCCAACCGAUCUAUCCUCUUGAGAGUAUUUGUAGUUAGAAGCUUCUGAUCUAAGAGUCAGCAGUGGAGAAAAGUCUGAUCUUCUCUCUCCUCCUUCAGCUUUUCCUUCAGGCACUCUACAUUUGUCAGAGCCUCUUGAAGUUUGCUCAAAAGUGCAAACAGCUCUUGAGUCACUCGAAUCCUCUUGAAGGCGGAGCCUUCAUCCCUCUGAGGUAUUUUUCUUUUGCAGCUUGCUCCAUUCGAGGUUUUGACCCUUUUAGCUGAGCUCUUACUGGGGCUCCUUUGGGAAUGAAUCUCAAGAGGGGUAGAGUUUCAACCCCAUCUUCCU
rnacentral:lncRNA from 1 species